rnacentral:rRNA from 1 species
AUGGAAGGCGAGAGCUUCUCGGGGAUGGGCAAUGGAGGCGGCGGCGGCGGCGGAGGGGGGCACCACCAGGUGGUGGACGGGAAGCUGAUCCAGACGUUCCACAAGAGCUUCGUGCAGGUGCAGAGCAUCCUGGACCAAAACCGGAUGCUCAUCUCCGAGAUCAACCAGAACCACGAGUCCCGGGCGCCGGACAGCCUCACCCGCAACGUCGGCCUCAUCCGGGAGCUCAACAACAAUAUCCGCCGCGUCGUCGGCCUCUAUGCCGACCUCUCUGCCUCCUUCGCGCACCGUGGCGCCGCCAUGGACGGCGGCUCCUCAGAGGGCGACUCCUCGGGCACGCUGCGCUCCUCCGAUGCCGCCGGCCGCGCCGCCGCCGCCGGACAGAAGCGCGUCCGGCCCGGCUAG